rnacentral:ncRNA from 2 species
CGGACCGACCACGGGUGUCUGCGGCAGCAGGCUGAGAUGGGACUGACGCCGUCCCGGACCGUCACACCUGAUCCGGGUCAUGCCGGCGGAGGGAUCGUCGUCGGCCGCGCCC